rnacentral:rRNA from 1 species
ACAUUGUUUUGAAGAGAAAACAUGAAGAUUAUCACCGUAUGUAUUACAUGACCAAAAAUCCCAAUUUAAGUAUUGCAAUUGCUGCAGUAGCACUAGUUAUUACUAUUGUGGCAUUCUUUGUAACCUUUGUUCCUGCACAAGGAACCCCGAUCCGGUUACGUCAUAUUUAUAUUUGGACAUUAGUUGGUAUGUGUGCAAUUGUUUCAGUAUUACCGUUGAUUCUUUAUCGCUGGCAUGCAAAAUGGCAAAAUCAAUAAAAGCGUUCGUUUAUAAAAAGCGAAUGCUUUUUUAGUAGAAUUGUUUUGAGGUGACAAAAUAUGGCAGAUGCAAUGCAAGAUGCGAUCUUAAAUGGUUUGUAUGAUUCAUCCUAUCCUGGUAGUGAAACAUUAGGUCCAAGUAUUUUAAGUAAUAAUCAUGAUGAAAAAAUUUGGUCAAUUUUGAGAAACGAAUUAUAUAGUUGUACAGGAUUUACGUGGGCAGUAGCGUUUAUAACUCAAGAUAUGCUUGUUCCUUUGAAAGUUGUACUUGCUGAUUUAGCGCAAAAAAAUGUCAGUGGAACAAUAAUUACAGGAAGCUAUUUAAAUUUUAAUAAUCCAAAAGUUUUUGAAGAAUUAAAGAAAAUUCCUAACUUAGAAAUAAAAGUCGCAACAGAAAGUGGCUUUCAUGCCAAGGGAUAUUUGUUUGAACAUAAAGAUUAUCAAACAGUGGUAAUUGGUAGUGCCAACUUUACCCGAGCAGCGCUUCUUACCAAUUAUGAAUGGGCUCUGAAGAUUAGUUCAAAAACUCAGGCUGAUCUAACUAGACAAAUGGCACAAAAACUUGCUGAAUUAGAAAAGAAUAGUUUUGUUCUUACUGAUGAAUGGCUAGCUGAAUACAAGAAAAAUUGGAUUAAACCUGUAAGUAAUACUAAAAAAAUCGUUUCAAAUGCAAAAAUUGAGCCGAAUCAAAUGCAGAAAGCUGCUUUAAAAAAUUUAAAUUCAUUAGUAAAUGAAGGAGCUAAGCGGGCUUUAGUAGUUUCGGCUACUGGAACGGGUAAGACUUAUUUAGGUGCUUUUGCUGUAAAAGACUUUAAGCCUAAAAAAUUUUUAUAUAUAGUGCAUCGUCAGCAAAUAGCUAAAAAAACUCUUGAUAGUUUUUACAAAGUAAUUGGUGGAGCAAAGUCAGAUUAUGGCAUAUUAAGCGGUAAUCACCAUGAUACUGAUAAAAGAUAUUUAUUUGCUACAAUUCAAACAUUAAGCCAAGAUAAUGUGCUUGAUGAUCUAGUUAGAAACGAAUUUGAUUACAUUUUAAUUGAUGAGGCACAUAGAACUGCCGCUCCUAGUUAUCAGAAAAUUAUAAAUUAUUUUCAACCUAAAUUCUUAUUAGGGAUGACAGCGACGCCUGAAAGAAUGGAUGAGCAAAAUGUGUAUCAAAUUUUUGACUAUAAUUUGGCAUAUGAGAUUCGGUUGAGGGAUGCAUUAGAAGAAAAGAUGUUGGCUCCUUUUCAUUAUGUGGGUGUGCAAGACUAUGAAAGCAAUAAUCAAAUAAUCGAUGAAACAACAAAUUUACGUUAUUUAGCAUCUAAAGAACGUGUAAAUUAUGUUUUAAAGGAAAUGGAUUAUUAUGGCUACUGCGGAGAUAAGGCUAAAGGUUUAGUAUUUUGCAGUAGACAAGAAGAAGCGCAUGAAUUAGCAAAUCUUUUUUCUGAAAAAGGUCAUCCUGCUGUGGCAUUGACUAAUAAGGAUAGUGACAAAAAACGGAUUGAAGUUGUAAGCCAAUUAGCAGACGGAGAUAUCGAAUAUAUUAUUGCUGUUGAUUUGUUUAAUGAAGGUAUAGAUAUUCCCUCAUUGAAUCAAAUUAUUAUGUUGCGCAAUACUCAAUCUGCUAUCGUAUUUAUUCAGCAAUUAGGGCGCGGCCUUAGAAAAUAUCCAGGUAAAGAAUUUGUGACAAUUCUUGAUUUUAUUGGAAAUUAUAAAAAUAAUUACUUAAUUCCAAUUGCGUUGAAUCAAGACAAUUCUCGUGAUAAAGAUAAGGUCAAAAGAGAGACGAGAUUACCUAAUUUUAUUGAUGUUUCUACAAUUAACUUUAGUAAGAUAGCUUCUGAUAGAAUUUUAGCUUCACUUGAUCAGAUCAAAUUGGAUAGUAUGCGUGAGUUACGAAGUAGUUAUCAAGAAUUAAAAAAUAAAUUAGGUCGAAUUCCGUUUUUGUUAGAUUUCUAUCAAUAUGGGACAGUUGCUCCGGAAGUUUUUGCAAAUAACCACGGACUAAGUAGUUAUGCAACCUUUUUAGAAAAAAUGGGCGAACCAAUUGAGCUUAAUAAAUAUGAAGAUGAAGUAUUAAGUUUUGUCACUAAAGAACUACUUAAUGGUAAAAGAGCACAUGAAUUAGUUUUGUUAAAAAUGCUGUUGAAGCAAAACUUUGUUAAGCAAGAAGAUUAUCUUGCUAAGCUGCAACUGACGCUGAGGCUCGAAAGCAUGGGUAGCGAACAGGAUUAGAUACCCUGGUAGUCCAUGCCGUAAACGAUGAGUGCUAAGUGUUGGGAGGUUUCCGCCUCUCAGUGCUGCAGCUAACGCAUUAAGCACUCCGCCUGGGGAGUACGACCGCAAGGUUGAAACUCAAAGGAAUUGACGGGGGCCCGCACAAGCGGUGGAGCAUGUGGUUUAAUUCGAAGCAACGCGAAGAACCUUACCAGGUCUUGACAUCUAGUGCAAUCCGUAGAGAUACGGAGUUCCCUUCGGGGACACUAAGACAGGUGGUGCAUGGCUGUCGUCAGCUCGUGUCGUGAGAUGUUGGGUUAAGUCCCGCAACGAGCGCAACCCUUGUCAUUAGUUGCCAGCAUUAAGUUGGGCACUCUAAUGAGACUGCCGGUGACAAACCGGAGGAAGGUGGGGAUGACGUCAAGUCAUCAUGCCCCUUAUGACCUGGGCUACACACGUGCUACAAUGGACAGUACAACGAGGAGCAAGCCUGCGAAGGCAAGCGAAUCUCUUAAAGCUGUUCUCAGUUCGGACUGCAGUCUGCAACUCGACUGCACGAAGCUGGAAUCGCUAGUAAUCGCGGAUCAGCACGCCGCGGUGAAUACGUUCCCGGGCCUUGUACACACCGCCCGUCACACCAUGGGAGUCUGCAAUGCCCAAAGCCGGUGGCCUAACCUUCGGGAAGGAGCCGUCUAAGGCAGGGCAGAUGACUGGGGUGAAGUCGUAACAAGGUAGCCGUAGGAGAACCUGCGGCUGGAUCACCU